rnacentral:rRNA from 1 species
GUGGGGAAUAUUGGGCAAUGGGCGGAAGCCUGACCCAGCGACGCCGCGUGGGGGAAGAAGUCUUUCGGGAUGUAAACCCUUGUUGUACGGGACGAAGGAAGUGACGGUACCGUACGAGGAAGCCCCGGCAAACUACGUGCCAGCAGCCGCGGUAAUACGUAGGGGGCGAGCGUUGUCCGGAAUCACUGGGCGUAAAGCGCACGUAGGCGGGCUGUCAAGUCGGCCGUGAAAGGCACGGGCUCAACCUGUGCAUGUCGGUCGAUACUGGCGGUCUGGAGUAUGGGAGAGGGAACUGGAAUUCCUGGUGUAGCGGUGAAAUGCGUAGAUAUCGGGAGGAACACCAGUGGCGAAGGCGGGUUCCUGGCCCAUGACUGACGCUGAGGUGCGAAAGCCGGGGGAGCGAACGGGAUUAGAUACCCCGGUAGUCC